rnacentral:rRNA from 1 species
GACGAACCGAGCGACCGUUGUUCGGAAUCACUGGGCUUAAAGGGCGCGUAGGCGGGCUGCCGCGUCCGGGGUGAAAUCCCACGGCUCAACCGUGGAACGGCCCCGGGUACGGGCGGCCUCGAGGGGGGUAGGGGCGUGCGGAACUGUGGGUGGAGCGGUGAAAUGCGUUGAUAUCCACAGGAACUCCGGUGGCGAAGGCGGCACGCUGGACCCCUUCUGACGCUGAGGCGCGAAAGCCAGGGGAGCGAACGGG